AAAGGUGUAGUUCAAUGGUAGAACUUAGGUCUCCAAAACCUACUGUGGUACUUCGAUUCUAUCCACCCCUA